ACCAUUAUCGUCUAGUGGUUUAGGAUACUAGGUUUUCACUCUAGGGGCCGGGGUUCGAUCCCCCGUAAUGGUG